rnacentral:lncRNA from 1 species
GGCUGACCUGCCUCUGCCCCCAGGCCACAGCUCCUGGAGCAGCCCGCCUGAAGGACCCCUCCCUGUUGCCCCUGUCCCCAGAGAUGACGUUUCCAUCCACGGCAGACCCUCUGGGGCUCCAGUGCAUCUCAACUGACCUUGAGGACAUCCUCAGAGCCCUGGCGAAUGUGUGGACCUGCCCACUCCUGGAGGUCAGGAAAUCCUGGAGGUCCUGCCCAAGGCUUUUCACCUUCCACGGGGCCGUUCCCAGCUGGUCUCCCUGAUCCACUGCUCCUGCCCCCUCCUGCCCCACACUGCUGCCUGGCCGCCGGCCCUGCCCCUCAGUGUCCUCCUCAUCACCACCGAGCACAUCCUGCAGGUGUUUAACUUGCUCACUCUCGGCCUGUCCCCAACGAGGGUGGACACAGCUUUGGCUUGGUCACUGUGCCCGCACAGGAAGGACACCUGGAGCCUGGAGUACCACCUGAGCAAUGAGUAGAGGCUCCUUCGCUCCCAGGGGCCUGUUUCAGGGCUUUCUGAUGCUAAUGUGCCGGGGGCAGGCUGUUGGCCUCUGAAGGGCCCCCUGCGGUCACAGGUGCAGUGGGUGCAGUGGGAGAGGCCUCUAGCCGCGGGGCCCAGCGCUGGAACCAGGGCCAGGUAAUUGAACGUGGGGUUUCAGAGGCCUGUCAUCAAUUCUUGUAAAUGUCACUUUGCGCCCGGGCUUUUCUGGCGGCCUUGCUUUCUCCUGGACUCAGUGUUGUUUUUCCCAGAGCUGCGUUUGGGGAUUCAGAAGGUUCCUCUCCAUUUGAUUUAACACCCCGCGUCUCCAGUUCCUGAUUAAGUCUGACAUUGUCUUUAUAGAGUGAGUUGUUAAUAGAGGUGAAAACUGUUUUCACAGUGAUUCUCCUCCUUCCCCCGGGAUGGCUCCCAGAAGUGCCCUUGCCGAGGCGCGUGCUCUGUGCACCGCGGAACCCGUGGCCUGGCCGGCGCGGCACAGCAGGGUUAGCAUGUGACCCACGGGGGCCGUGGGAACACUGCUGGUUCCCAGGGCUGUUGGCACCAAGGGCGGGACAGAGGCUGCUGUGUGCUCUCUGCAGUGCCCAGCGCUGGCCUCACACAAGGCAGGUGCCCAGCAACUUCCCUGAAGGUAGGAAAUGAGAACAUUCCCUGCAGCAAGGACUUUGGGACAAGGAACGGGGGCCCUGGACUGCCUGGGUGCCUCGGAGGGUCUCAUGGGGAGUCUCUAGGCAUGACGGCAGUGUGAUGGCAUGUGGCGACCAGCCAGCACGCCUCCCUCAUGGCCUCCUUCCACCAUCAGGUCCGGGACCCUCCCCUCUCUUCCUGAUUUGCUGUUUUUAAAAACAUCCAGUUGGUGUUGACUUGGCCAGGUGGCUUCCAGCUUCCCCUGGGUGGCCUGUGGCUCUUCUCUGUCAACGUGGACAGUUCCAUUCACAGGUCUUACUAACGGGGUGUCGUCAGAGCCCCUGGGGUGAUGCAGGGGCUUCUCACACGGCUGAGGCUGCUGAGAAGGGAGCGGACUCCAGACGGGAGGAGACGGAGUUCCCACGUAAGAGCGACCUGGUGGUGCCAGAGCCCAUCAGGGAGAGGUUCCUCAGGCUGGGCCGGAGGGGGUGGGCAGUGCCCACUGUGGGCAGAGCCGGGACAGUACAACAGGGCACAUGUACCCAGCAUCCACGACCCAGAACGGGUCGCGAGAGCCCCGAGGUGUCUGCGGGGGACCCGCACUGGCUGCCGCAGGGUCCCAGCCACACAGAUUAUCCAGCCCAGAGCCAGGGGGUCCUCACGCUUCUCCUGUCCAUGUUCACUGGCUCCCGAGCUGGACAGAGCCUGCUGGACUUCAGAGGAAGCCGCCCCGCCUGCCGGGAGCUGGGAGCUGAAGGAGAAGGGAAUGACUCAGAAGAGAAUCGGGCUUCAGUGUGGAGGUCACCGCCGAAGCUGCGGGGCAGGGGGUGCGGGGGACAGUGCUGAGCGUGGCUUCAGGCCGGUGGACCCCCACUCCUGCUCGGUGGAGAGGCGGCUUCCGCCGCGGGUCUUCAUUCAGCCAUGUCCUCUGCACGGCCUGCCCUGACCCCACCCCUGCUCCCUGCCUUCCUGACACCGUCCUCCCUCAGGUCUCCAGGGCCUCCUCUGGAGCCUCCUGUCCCAGCCACAGGGACCUUAGGUGGCUGUGCCUAAGGGCUCCUUUCUACCCAGGCCUCCUGUGUGCAGGGCAAGGAGCCCAGAGCUUCCCGCUCUCAGGAGGAGGCCCGGUGGGACCCCAGAAGGGCUCGGGGUGAAGCCACCGCCAAGAGGUGGAGGCAGAGCACCCUGCCCAGCCCUGUGGCUCCCGCCCCUCCCACCCCGUCCUCCACGUCACCCGACUCAGUCUCAGGGCAUCUGCGUCCUUGCUUGCCAUCUGAGUGGGGUCGCUCGGCCCAUGCUCUCAGACAGAUGAUGCCACCCUGUACCCAGAUCCCUCCUGGCCAGACAGGACCCGUUUGCUGGGCAGCCUGUCCCUCGCCGGGCCCUGCCUGGGCAGCACGGGACACCUCCAGGUCUGAGAGCUGGAGACCUGCAGGGCUCCUUGUUUUCAGAGUGGCCCAGGUGGCAUGGCUCCGUGUCCUGGGGGAUGGUGCCACCCACAAGUCGCACAUGGAGGGGAGGAGCUGGCCUAGGGACCACAGGGGACUGGAAGUUGCCCCUCCAGCGGGUGCUUCAGCACCUGGGGGGCGAGCAGACCAACCCACUCCCUGUGCUACCUGUGGACUUGGUCCCCGUCAUCCUGAGAGUGGCAGCAGGUGCCCCUGGCGCUCUUGGUAAUGGAGAGUGAUUCGCUCACUUUCUGCUGAAAAUACAAUCUUGGUCAGAAAAUGGAAUGUCUGUUUCUCUAGGUUGAUUUCAUGUCGAAGUCUCCUUCUUCCCUGGGCUCACGGUGUGCAGGGCCACAGGUCAGCUGAGAGAAAGGCAGGCGGUCGGGAGCCCACCCUGCUGGGUCUCUUCCCAGCCUCGUCCUCAUGCCGCUCAGCCAGGUCCCUGGGGUUGGAAUGGCAGGGAGGGACGUGGGAGCCCGGUGGGGCUGCCAAGCAUGGUGGCAGCGUCUCACUGUCCCAGGGCAGGGUGUUGCCGUCAGCCUGUCCCCUAGCUGAGUCACCAGGCUGUCCCAUGGCCCUGUACCAUGAGCCCUUCCAGGGGUCCUCGAGACCAAUCCAGGGUGACUCCCCUCUCCCACCAUUCUGCUCUCGGGCCCCACUCAGCGUCCCACCUGGCAAAACCCAGGAGGGGCCAGUCCCAGUCGGUCCUCUUGCUGCUGUCAUGGACACUGGGCUGUCUCACACACGGGUCCGAGGACAGAGCAGAGUGGACAGUGGACAGUACUCUAGGUGAUACUGCGGCAGAGCAGGGCCUGCUGGGAAGCCAAGGCCACCACCGUCCUUUCUCACCAGUUCUUGGGAUCAAGCCAGAAAGAUUUCAGACUUGUCACUCAGAAUAGCAGGCACGAGGUCUUAGAAGGGAUGGGACAGGGGAAAAGGGGGCACGCUCCAGAGAGACAGUGGGUCCUCUCAGAGGGGACAGGGGCAGUGGGCCUCUCCUGCCCUCCGAGUUAACCGGGGGUCCCAGGGAGGUUUCCUGAGAGUCCCACCCAUGUCCACCUCUUGACUUGACUGACAGCAGGGUGACAUCAGCCUUUCAAGUCCCAUUAUUCAUGACCACUCUAGGUCACUUUGGCCCAUGCUGCUCCGUUCUAAUUGGAACCUGUGCUUACAGGUUUUAUGGUUAGGGGAAUCAUCCUUAUCUCCCUGAGUUCUGGGAUCUGGUCUGUGUAAGGGUCACAAAGUCCCCUCUUCAGGGUGGCUUGUGUUCUUCUUAUCAGCCUUUCUGGCCUGCAUUGCUCCUGCAGAUAGCAGGUAGUUUGCUGAGAAAUGUGACGCAUCCUAUUGACUUCAGCCAGGCAGGGCUGCAGGUAAAUUGCUUUUUAAAAAGAGGAAGCACGUGGGGGCCAGCACAGUGGGCCCUGUUUAUAGAAUUAUUCCCUGAAAUUCUGCCCCCCGCCCCCGUGUCUGUGUGUUGCUGUCUGUGAGAUCCAGUCCAGAGCAGUUUCUCCCCUUCCUGCUUCUGUACAACUUGGUAGGUUGGAUUUUCAACUCAUUAGUCCAUUGUAAUUAAGUUGUUAUUUUUGAUUAAUUUGUUGACAAAAAAAUUGUUGCUAACCUUGUCUUUGGACUGCUGAUGACGCAGGCAAAGGUGAAUCUAUUCCCAGGGCUCUAAGAGUAGCUGGAGAAGCACCGUGGGCUUCCCGCACCUCUGUGAGGGACAGCCUCGCGGAGUCACUGUGGGGAGUGAAGGCGGCGUUGUCUGCACCCCAAAGCAGCCGCGAGAAGCAAGAGAUCAAAGACUUCACUCCACCAAGGAGACACCACGGAACCCAACACAAGUCAGAAAAGCAGUGGGGAAGGGGCAGGAACACUGAGGCACUUGGAGAGGAGUGUGGGUGCCAGCAGGUCGCCCUGAGUGUGAGUGGGGAGGAAGGAGAGAGGUCAGUUAACGAGCAAGACCCAGUUUCCACCAGAGGAGCCGUGGCUCACGGGAGCUGUGAGGGAGGGUGCCUGCUCCCAGCACACUGGUCUGCUAGUCAGCGGGCCCCCAUCCUCUCCAGGAGGCUAGCCAAGUGCCGCUAGAGUCCAGAGCACCACCGAGGCCGCCCAUGGCGCAGGCUGCAGGUGACCGCCCCCCCCCCAGGCAGCCCUGGCCUGUGCUCCCCCAGUGGGAAGGCUUCCAGAUGCAAAGCAAACUCCGGCCUGAAGGUAAGUUUCAAGGACUGUGACCCCAGCCUGAGGUCUCGGAGCCGCUCUAUAAUCGUAGACUGAGAUACAGAAAGUCAGGAACCAGGUAGAUCUCUACACAAACUGACGUUCAAAAAAUGCCCUUCCCCACGAGAGCCAAAUGCCUGUUCUCCCCACUGCCCCCCACCCAGGAAAUGCUCAGAAGACCUGCAUUAGGUCCCGGAGAAGCCACAGCAGAUGUAGAAGGAUUCACGUCCUGCAAAGGCUGCUCCUGAAUCAACAGCAUUAAAAUUCAAACCAAUGGGAGAAAGAUCUUGGAAAAUCCCCAAAUUGUUGGAAACAAAAGAACACAUUUCUAAUAUCCAAUAGGCCAAAGAGGAAAAUGAAAGGAAA